GAGUUUGAUCAUGGCUCAGAUUGAACGCUGGCGGCAUGCCUUACACAUGCAAGUCGAACGGCAGCACGGGAGCUUGCUCCUGGUGGCGAGUGGCGAACGGGUGAGUAAUGCAUCGGAACGUAUCCUGGAGUGGGGGAUAACGUAGCGAAAGUUACGCUAAUACCGCAUAUUCUGUGAGCAGGAAAGCGGGGGACCUUCGGGCCUCGCGCUCUUGGAGCGGCCGAUGUCGGAUUAGCUAGUUGGUGAGGUAAAGGCUCACCAAGGCGACGAUCCGUAGCAGGUCUGAGAGGAUGAUCUGGCCACACUGGAACUGAGACACGGUCCAGACUCCUACGGAGGCAGCAGUGGGAAUUUUGGACAAUGGGGGCAACCCUGAUCCAGCCAUGCCGCGUGAGUGAAGAAGGCCUCGGUU
rnacentral:rRNA from 1 species